GCCUAAUACAUGCAAGUAGAACGCUGAAGAGAGGAGCUUGCUCUUCUUGGAUGAGUUGCGAACGGGUGAGUAACGCGUAGGUAACCUGCCUUGUAGCGGGGGAUAACUAUUGGAAACGAUAGCUAAUACCGCAUAACAAUGGAUGACACAUGUCAUUUAUUUGAAAGGGGCAAAUGCUCCACUACAAGAUGGACCUGCGUUGUAUUAGCUAGUAGGUGAGGUAACGGCUCACCUAGGCGACGAUACAUAGCCGACCUGAGAGGGUGAUCGGCCACACUGGGACUGAGACACGGCCCAGACUCCUACGGGAGGCAGCAGUAGGGAAUCUUCGGCAAUGGGGGCAACCCUGACCGAGCAACGCCGCGUGAGUGAAGAAGGUUUUCGGAUCGUAAAGCUCUGUUGUAAGUCAAGAACGAGUGUGAGAGUGGAAAGUUCACACUGUGACGGUAGCUUACCAGAAAGGGACGGCUAACUACGUGCCAGCAGCCGCGGUAAUACGUAGGUCCCGAGCGUUGUCCGGAUUUAUCGGGCGUAAAGCGAGCGCAGGCGGUUUGAUAAGUCUGAAGUUAAAGGCUGUGGCUCAACCAUAGUUCGCUUUGGAAACUGUCAAACUUGAGUGCAGAAGGGGAGAGUGGAAUUCCAUGUGUAGCGGUGAAAUGCGUAGAUAUAUGGAGGAACACCGGUGGCGAAAGCGGCUCUCUGGUCUGUAACUGACGCUGAGGCUCGAAAGCGUGGGGAGCGAACAGGAUUAGAUACCCUGGUAGCCCACGCCGUAAACGAUGAGUGCUAGGUGUUGGAUCCUUUCCGGGAUUCAGUGCCGCAGCUAACGCAUUAAGCACUCCGCCUGGGGAGUACGACCGCAAGGUUGAAACUCAAAGGAAUUGACGGGGGCCCGCACAAGCGGUGGAGCAUGUGGUUUAAUUCGAAGCAACGCGAAGAACCUUACCAGGUCUUGACAUCCCGAUGCUAUUUCUAGAGAUAGAAAGUUACUUCGGUACAUCGGUGACAGGUGGUGCAUGGUUGUCGUCAGCUCGUGUCGUGAGAUGUUGGGUUAAGUCCCGCAACGAGCGCAACCCCUAUUGUUAGUUGCCAUCAUUCAGUUGGGCACUCUAGCGAGACUGCCGGUAAUAAACCGGAGGAAGGUGGGGAUGACGUCAAAUCAUCAUGCCCCUUAUGGCCUGGGCUACACACGUGCUACAAUGGUUGGUACAACGAGUUGCGAGUCGGUGACGGCAAGCUAAUCUCUUAAAGCCAAUCUCAGUUCGGAUUGUAGGCUGCAACUCGCCUACAUGAAGUCGGAAUCGCUAGUAAUCGCGGAUCAGCACGCCGCGGUGAAUACGUUCCCGGGCCUUGUACACACCGCCCGUCACACCACGAGAGUUUGUAACACCCGAAGUCGGUGAGGUAACCUUUUGGAGCCAGCCGCCUAAGGUGGGAUAGAUGAUUGGGGUGAAGUC
rnacentral:rRNA from 1 species